GAUGAAGAACGUAGCGAAAUGCGAUAAGUAAUGCGAAUUGCAGAAUUUCCGUGAGUCAUCGAAUCUUUGAACGCACAUUGCGCCCAUUGGCAUUCCGAUGGGCAUGCCUGUUCGAGCGUCAUUAUCCUCCCUCAAACCCCUGGGUUUGGUGUUGGACUGUGUGGUGCCUGGCACCACUGGUCUCAAAGACAAUGACGGCGUCCGUGGGACCCUCGGUGCAACGAGCUUUUCGAAGCACGCGUCGAGUGGACAGUCUCUCCGGGCCGGUCACCUCUCCAAUUUUUCUCAGGUUGACCUCGGAUCAGGUAGGAAUACCCGCUGAACUUAAGCAUAUCAAAAGCGGAGGA
rnacentral:misc_RNA from 1 species